GGCUAGGGGUGCUGAUGAAAGCUGAGAGAAAACCCUUUGAACCUGAAACCAGAUAAUACUGGCGUAGGAAAGCCCAUAA
rnacentral:ncRNA from 1 species